UUUUUGAUUACCUCUGAAAAAGUAACAGAUAGUAUUUUAUCUCCUGACAUUGAAAUUGCUUCAUAGCAGCAGAGCCCAUUCUAAGAGCAAGGAAAAGGAAACCACAUUUCCGUGCAACCUGGAACAUUCCUCAGGUCAUUAUCCUUCCCAGACAGAGUACAGCCUAGGGGGUGAGUGGAGCAGAAGAUGUGCUAUUUCUUGCUUGAGAAGAAAGAAUAUCAUGGUGGGAGUACCUCCAGUGUUUUUUUGUUUUUUUUUCCGAUGGAGCGUCUCUCUGCUUCCCUCUCUGGAAGCAUCUCCCCAAAUAAUGACAUGCAGGAAUCACACAAAAAGCCAUUACUGAGAGAGGAACGCUCCCAGGUACCAGAUGUCUGCUGAAAAUGUCGCGGUAUGAGAGGCAAGGUUAUUAAAUGUUCGUAAAGCCUCCCUGGGACUUCAACAUUGGGAAAAUGAGCAAAAACUGGGCCUUUGGAGACUGAAAAAUGAAAUGAGAAACAUGACAAAAUUUAUUUAUUUAUUUUUUUGUAUAGAUAGUUGAAAGAUUUUUACAUUUGUUUUCUCUCUGAAUUAGAUAUGGUCUAUGCUAAGACAUUGGCAUAAAACCCAAGAGAGAGGUAUGUGUUUAAGGAAAGGUGAGUGAUGCUGUGGUGAAGUCCUGGAGGACCACAAUGUUUGCAGGUUUUAUGGUUUCCUUUCAAUCAAUUGCCAAUUAAGGCCUUCAGAAUCAGACAUGUGGAUUUUGUAGCUAAGAAGCAACUUAAAUGAAUCACUGGUACUGAAACACACCAGAAACCAGUAGACACUGUGGCCUGCCGAGACUGGAUUCUGAAACCUCUGACCUACAGAAUGGAAUGGUAUUUGUUACAUUUUGAAUGGACUUUCUACCAGUCUUGGGACUAUAAUUUUCACCCUCAAGUGAUUGUAUUUAUGUUUUAUGAACAUAAUCUACAUUAAAACAUAAUGACAAGAACAGGUCAUUCAGCCCAUCUAGGCUCAGCAUUAAUUAGACUGGAGGAGAAUCUAGCACUGUGUCUGGUCUGGAGUUGAACACUCUGAGUGUUUUUCCAUUAUUAUGGCCUGAAAAGUUGUUCUGCACAUUGGCAAGUCCCUGUUUGUUGUUCAACAAAUAAAUAUUUUCUGAUGUCUGUGCAAAAUUUACCUUCAACUAAUUUCCUCAUGCCCCCUGGUUCUAUUGACAGCCUGA